GUGUUCAAACUAUUUGUGUUCUUAAAAAAUAAAAAAAAAAUGAAUAUUUCCGUAGCCCUAUUUUUUAUGGAUAAUGAGGGGGAGGUUCGAAAUGUGCCACGGAGGCAUUUAAGAGAUGCUUCGAAUUUAUUUGAAGUACCUAACAACCAGUUUGUGGCCAACUUUCAUGUGUCGAGGGAAGUUUUCGGGCUCUUUUGGAUAUGAUGGAAGAGAAGUGGGUGCCCGGUUGCAGAACUACCCAAAUCCGCCCCGAUUUAAAACUUCUUCUGCUGCUUCCAAAAAUUGGCAUUCCUCUGGCGAACACAGGAUUCUCCUCCAUUUACUCAACUAGUGCCCGCAGCUGUGUAGUUGAUGAUUUUUUCGUGCUGGAAUUGAGAAAAUAAAAAAAAUAUAUAUUUGUUGUUCACAUAUUAAA